GCUGAGCAGUUGGCAGGGUUGAGACUGAUUGCAUCAUGAGAGAGGUUGUGAAAUUGAGAGCCAUUGUCUCAUUGCUGCUGGUGAAACGGUGUACUUAUAACAGUGAAGAAUGCCAUGAUUUUCCAUUCAACACACAAUGCUAUAGGAAGUGGAUCAUUCUGGAAUGGAAAGGAGGAAAUCAGAGCACACGGAGGAAACCCACGCAGACACGGGGAGAGUGUGCAAACUCAACACAGACAGUCGCCCAAGACUAGCAUCAAGCCUGGGUCACUGGCUCUGUAAGGCAGCAGUGUUAACCACUCAGUCAUCAUGCCUUGGUGAAAGAUUCCGAGCUGCUACUUUCUCUGAAAUCUUUCUUGAUGUUGUUUCCUCCUGAAUUGGAGAACUGCAUAAGAGACUGUGUCUGAACUUACCUUUUUGCCAAGGGGUGUGUGUU